rnacentral:rRNA from 1 species
UACGUAGGGUGCGAGCGUUAAUCGGAAUUACUGGGCGUAAAGCGUGCGCAGGCGGUUCGUUAAGUCAGCUGUGAAAGCCCCGGGCUCAACCUGGGAACGGCGGUUGAAACUGGCGAACUAGAAUCUGGCAGAGGGGGGUGGAAUUCCACGUGUAGCAGUGAAAUGCGUAGAGAUGUGGAGGAACACCGAUGGCGAAGGCAGCCCCCCUGGGCUGAGAUUGACGCUCAGGCACGAAAGCGUGGGGAGCAAACAGG